rnacentral:misc_RNA from 1 species
UUUUUUUUUUUUUUUUUUUUGGCCCAACUUCCCUUUGCCUUUUCUGUUGUUUUUAACCAUGUCUACUUUACUUCCUUGCCCAUGGUCCUAAAAUAAAAUGAAGACAUUUUAUUUUCCAUGCCUUUGUUUUCCUCCCAGCUUUGCUUUUGAUCCAGACCUAUUUUUGUGCGUUUCUUCAAGUUCACAGUAUUCUUAUUUUUAUAUCCCUGUCAUAUCUUUGGAAGUUAUGGAUGAGAUUUGGGGAGAUUUGUUGUUGAUAAACGAGAUCUCUGUUAGAGAGAGAACAAGGCAGAUGAGAGGGAGAGAGAGAGAGAAACAGAUUCUGCCACCACCCAAAGAAGCAUCACCGGAAGCAAUUGUUGGUGUUUCUUGCUUUGCUCCCACUCACAGGUAGCGAUUGAUUUCUUUUAAGGUACCAACUUUGGCCUUCGAUUGAGCACUUUGUUUCUUCAGAGUUCAAGUGAAAAUUAUGAGGAUCCUUUUGUUUAAACUGUUUGUUUGUUUUUAAUAUCCAACUUUUGUGUUUCUGUGUGCUGUGAGUGAAUUUUCGGUGUACCCAUCUUCUGAAUUUGAUUUUGUGGAUUGCAGGGCAAAUUAACUUGAGCAUUUAGAUUUCUAUUUUCUUGGAGUAACCUCCCCGUUGAUCACCAUCAAUUGAUGGAUUUGGGUUGUAAGGAGAUAGAGAAACCAGUGAGACAAGAAGAAAACUCAAGCAGAUGGUGGUAAGUCCUGGGGAAUGUAUGGUGGUAAAUCCUGGGGAUUGUUUCUAACAAAAUCUCUUUUGUUUUGACUCUGCAACUUUCUAGUUUCCAGUUGUUUAUUAUGCAUAUAUAUUGGAGACAUGAUUUUAUUUUAUUUUAUUUUUUGAAGUAGGAGAUAUAUUUUAUUAGUUUCAUGUAAAACAUGUAAAACAAGAAGAAAGUAUUAGUAUUAAAAUUUUACAUGUGUUCAACUUUUGAUUACUCAAAUAAAUUCUGACUCCUUUUUUUCUUAAUUUAAAAUAAUCAAACUUUUCUUCUUCACUUCUUAGCGUAAAAUGUAUAUAAAUCAAAUAUAUGAAUAAUUAUUUUAAUUUAGAUACAAAGAUUGAGUUAAUUAAUCAUUUAAAUUAGUCAAAUAAUGAAAAAUACGCUCUAUUUAAUGAUAAUUUUUAGUCAGUAUUUAACUUCAUAGUCUUUCAAAUUUAAUUUUUAUUUUUUUACUAGCUGAAUUACUAUAAUAAGAGCAACUUUUUUUUUUAAUAAAUUACUUUAGUUCAGUCCAGUUAACAUGAUUUUGUUAUGAGAACAAAUAUGAAACAAAGGGAUUAUAAAUGGUCUUUUUUUAAUUAAUAUAUUUAUCUAAUUGAUUUUUAUGAAAGCAACAAAGUAGGCAGUUUAUAUAUUUUGACAUUAUAUGGUGGAACCUACUAUUAAAUAUGGGUCUCACAUAUUUAUAUCUUGGAUCUAGGAUGAACCGGGUAUAGGUAAGAAUUUCUAUUCGACUAGUUGCUUUUCAGAGUCUCCACAGGCUAAAUAGGAGAAAACAGAUUAUCAUAAUAAUAAAAAAAUUAUUAUUUUCUACUCGACCAAUUAACCUACUGGCUAUAUGGUACAUCAACGUACAUUAUCAUUUGCCCAUAAAUGGAAUUCAUUUUACUGAAAGCAAUAAAGCAGGGGAACUGGUUUUGAUUAGGCAAUUAGCUUGUUGAAACUGGUCUUUUUUUCAUAAAAAUAAUAUAGAAUCUCUUUGAAAGCUAUUACUAUUGAGAGCUGAGAGCUUGAGGUUGAUCAUCAUGGAAAGAAAGAUAAUUCUUCAUAGCAUUAUUCGUGAGGGGAAAUUUGUAAGCUUUCUCUUCCUUGUUCUAUACAUUCACGUUCUCUUUUUCCUUUGUUGUUUUUCCUUUUUAUUGUUCUUGGGAUUUUGAUUGUGUGUGAUUUUGUCUUUAUCAGCAUAUUCCAGGAGAGUUUUGGAGGAAAUGUGGGCAAGAUCUGUCGAGUACUGUAGUCCUUAAAGUCCCUGGUGAUGCUAUAUGGCAUGUGGAGCUGUUGGUGUGUGGUCAUGACGUUUGGUUGGGAAAUGGUUGGCGAGAAUUUGCAGGUUAUUACUCUCUAGCCUUUGGGCACUUGAUACCUUUCAAACACAAAGGAGACUCCAUUUCCAUUUAUUCAUAUUUGACAAGAGUGCUACGGAGAUAAAGUAACCAUGUGGUAGCAUCGGUGCUGGGAAACCAAAACUCCAAAACCCAAAAAUGGAAGAUAAUAAUGAUUAUCUGCCAUCAAGCAAGAAAAAGGGCGAGAAAUCACUGUUUCUACAGCCUCCUAAUUAAGUGGACGGGAACUGAUUCAGCAACGAAUGAAGGUAUGAUAUGAUUCUGCCUUUUUCUUUUUUACCCAAACAAAACUCUUCUUUUAGCUUUUUCUAUUGUACUUUUCUGAUAAUUGUGAUAUUUGAUGAUUCUUGACUGGAUGAUAAAUAAUGAAAUUGAACCUAAAACUUGCUUUGAAGGUAACACAAGAAUCUAAUUUUUGCCUUCAGCUCAAUAAUCUUCUUACCUGGAAAAUUUAAAGAUGAACCUUACCUGAUCUGAGAACUGGGCUAUCUUAUUGAUUCUGCAAAACAAAUAUUUGUUCAUCUGUUAGUUGGUGUAAUGUAGGAAAGUCCAUGCCAGUGAUGUGCAAAAAGAGUGAUUUUGGGCUAGCUACAACAAGGCCUUCUUCAUGUUUGAGUACCUUUCAAGCUCUUCAAGCUGCCAACAACUUCACCUCAGAGUAUCCAUCUUUCAAGCUUAUUGUGCCUUCAUAUCACUGGAAACAUUGCAAUGUGGUAGGGUCAUCAGUUCUUUUAAAUAUAGUUAAACUAACAUAUUAACCAGAAAUAACUUGAUAUUUUAUUUGAGCUUGGUUGUGAAGACUUGCAAACUUGUUGCUAUGGAGAAACCUGCGUAAAUCAGAAAAUUAGAUGAUACCUUAUGAUAAAUAGUUAGGCUUGCUAGGUUUCUGGGUUGAUUAUCAAAUUUUAACUUGAGUUGGAUACCUGCCACCCUGCAGCCAUCUCCUACGUUCAUACACAUCGAAAGCUUAUGUUCAAAUUUUAUUAUUACAUUUAUAAUGACACUAUUUAAUCUCCAUACAGACCACACCAUGUCGCUUUUUCCGUAGGUAUUUUGAGCAUAAGGCUGAGAAUGCUAUACUUCAGGUUGCAGACAGAGUAUGGCCUGUGCAGUUCAAACCUGCUCUAAGAAAUCAUUCAGUUGCCCUAAGUGUGGGUUGGCGUGCCUUUGCAACCGCAAAUUCUCUGGAAGCUGGAGAUGUUUGCAUCUUUGAGCUGAUCAAGAGUAAUGUUAUGAAAGUAUCCAUUUUCUGAAGUGUCAAUUGCAAUUCCGUGAAUUGUUUUUGCUGGAACCAGUUUAUGGCAGUCAUAGACUGUAAGAUAACUAUGUUUCUAUAAAACUCUGUUGUUUCCUCUUGAAUAGAACUGUAACUUAUAUUUAAAUUAUGUACUUAAGCCACAAUAACCUUGUGAAAAACGUUGUUUAAUACAUCUAGUUACCAUUUGUAAAGAAAUAUGCUCUUGCCAAACAUACCCUCAAUUAAAGCUUUGAGCAG